UACGGGAGGCAGCAGUGGGGAAUAUUGCACAAUGGGCGCAAGCCUGAUGCAGCCAUGCCGCGUGUAUGAAGAAGGCCUUCGGGUUGUAAAGUACUUUCAGUCGUGAGGAAGGUGUUAAGGUUAAUAACCUUAGCAAUUGACGUUAGCGACAGAAGAAGCACCGGCUAACUCCGUGCCAGCAGCCGCGGUAAUACGGAGGGUGCGAGCGUUAAUCGGAAUUACUGGGCGUAAAGGGCACGCAGGCGGUUAAUUAAGUUGGAUGUGAAAUCCCCGGGCUUAACCUGGGAAUGGCAUUCAAGACUGGUUAGCUAGAGUCUUGUAGAGGGGGUAGAAUUCCAUGUGUAGCGGUGAAAUGCGUAGAGAUGUGGAGGAAUACCGGGUGGCGAAGGCGGCCCCUGGGACAAAGGACUGACGCUCAUGUGCGAAAGCGUGGGGAGCGAAACAGGGAUUAGAUACC
rnacentral:rRNA from 1 species